rnacentral:rRNA from 1 species
CGUGUAGGCGGCCCGGUAAGUCCGUUGUAAAAGUCGAAGGCUCAACCUUCGAAUGCCGAUGGAUACUGCCGGGCUAGAGUCCGGAAGAGGCGAGUGGAAUUCCUGGUGUAGCGGUGGAAUGCGCAGAUAUCAGGAGGAACACCGAUAGCGAAGGCAGCUCGCUGGGGCGGUACUGACGCUAAGACGCGAAAGCGUGGGAGCGAACA